rnacentral:rRNA from 1 species
GACGAACGCUGACGGUGUGCUUUAGACAUGCAAGUCGAACGAGAAAGCCCUUCGGGUUAGUAAAGUAGGCGAACGGGUGAGUAACACGUGGGCAAUCUGCCCCUCGCAGGGGGACGAACCGGAGGAACCCCGGCUAAUACCCCGUAAGUUCAAAGGGAGGCAUCUCCCCUUGAAGAAAGGUAGCUUCGGCCAUCCGGCGAGGGAUGAGCCCGCGGUGCAUUAGCUAGUUGGUGGGGUAACGGCCCACCAAGGCGACGAUGCAUAGCUGGUCUGGGAGGAUGAUCAGCCACACUGGGACUGAGACACGGCCCAGACUCCUACGGGAGGCAGCAGUCGGGAAUCUUGCGCAAUGGGCGAAAGCCUGACGCAGCGACGCCGCGUGAGGGAUGACGGCCUGGUUGUAA